rnacentral:rRNA from 1 species
UAGGGAAUAUUGGGCAAUGGGUGAGAGCCUGACCCAGCCAUGCCGCGUGCAGGAAGACGGCCCUCAGGGUUGUAAACUGCUUUUCUACGGGAAGAAAGAGGUUCUGCGGAACCAGUUGACGGUACCGUAGGAAUAAGCACCGGCUAACUCCGUGCCAGCAGCCGCGGUAAUACGGAGGGUGCAAGCGUUGUCCGGAUUUAUUGGGUUUAAAGGGUACGUAGGCGGGCGUCUAAGUCAGUGGUGAAAGCCUACCGCUUAACGGUGGAAUUGCCAUUGAUACUGGAUGUCUUGAGUAUAGUAGAGGUGGGCGGAAUUCAUGGUGUAGCGGUGAAAUGCAUAGAUACCAUGAGGAACACCGAUAGGGAAGCCAGCUCACUGGACUAUUACUGACGCUAAGGUACGAAAGCGUGGGGAGCGAACA